GUCCACGCCGUAAACUAUGGAUACUAGGUGUUUGAGGAAUUAACCCCUUGAGUACUGAAGCUAACGCAUUAAGUAUCCCGCCUGGGGAGUACGGUAGCAAGGCUAAAACUCAAAGGAAUUGACGGGGGCCCGCACAAGCGGUGGAGUAUGUGGUUUAAUUCGAAGCAACGCGCAGAACCUUACCUACACUUAACAUCCCAAGACGUAUGCAGAGAUGUAUAUUUCACUUCGGUGACUUGGAGAUAGGUGCUGCAUGGCUGUCGU
rnacentral:rRNA from 1 species